rnacentral:lncRNA from 1 species
UUUUAAGGUAAUGGUUGAGUGUGCUAAUCUUAAGAGGAUUUUUAACAUCAUUCCUGUGGCUGUUUCAUGUUCUUAUGUGAUAACUAACAGUUUCCAGCUUUUUCUAGGGCCAAGGAAAAACAAAAUAAAGCAAUACUUUGUAAUGGAAAGAACAGUAAACCAUAGGUCAGCUUUGAGAUCUAAUCCCAGCUUUGCAGAAAUCUAGCAUUGUGACUUUAGGCAAGACAUUUG